rnacentral:rRNA from 1 species
UCUACCUAGUAGUACGGAAUAAUUGUUGGAAACGGCAACUAAUACCGUAUACGCCCUACGGGGGAAAAAUUUAUUGCUAUUAGAUGAGCCUAUAUUAGAUUAGCUAGUUGGUGGAGUAAUAGCCUACCAAGGCAAUGAUCUAUAGCUGAUCUGAGAGGAUGAUCAGCCACACUGGAACUGAGAUACGGUCCAGACUCCUACGGGAGGCAGCAGUGGGGAAUAUUGGACAAUGGGCGAAAGCCUGAUCCAGCCAUGCCGCAUGAGUGAAGAAGGCCUUUGGGUUGUAAAGCUCUUUUAGUGAGGAAGAUAAUGACGGUACUCACAGAAGAAGUCCUGGCUAACUCCGUGCCAGCAGCCGCGGUAAUACGGAGAGGGCUAGCGUUAUUCGGAAUUAUUGGGCGUAAAGGGCGCGUAGGCUGAUUAAUAAGUUAAAAGUGAAAUCCCGAGGCUUAACCUUGGAAUUGCUUUUAAAACUAUUAAUCUAGAGAUUGAAAGAGGAUAGAGGAAUUCCUGAUGUAGAGGUAAAAUUCGUAAAUAUUAGGAGGAACACCAGUGGCGAAGGCGUCUAUCUGGUUCAAAUCUGACGCUGAAGCGCGAAGGCGUGGGGAGCAAACAGGAUUAGAUACCCUGGUAGUCCACGCUGUAAACGAUGAAUGUUAAAUAUGGGAAGUUUACUUUCUGUAUUACAGCUA